rnacentral:rRNA from 1 species
GGUUAAGCGACUAAGCGUACACGGUGGAUGCCCUGGCAGUCAGAGGCGAUGAAGGACGUGCUAAUCUGCGAUAAGCGUCGGUAAGGUGAUAUGAACCGUUAUAACCGGCGAUUUCCGAAUGGGGAAACCCAGUGUGAUUCGUCACACUAUCAUUAACUGAAUCCAUAGGUUAAUGAGGCGAACCGGGGGAACUGAAACAUCUAAGUACCCCGAGGAAAAGAAAUCAACCGAG